GAUGAACGCUGGCGGCGUGCCUAAUACAUGCAAGUCGAGCGAACAGAUAAGGAGCUAGCUCCUUUGACGUUAGCGGCGGACGGGUGAGUAACACGUGGGUAACCUACCUAUAAGACUGGAAUAACUCCGGGAAACCGGGGCUAAUGCAGGAUAACAUGUUGAACCGCAUGGUUCUACAGUGAAAGGCGGCUUUGCUGUCACUUAUAGAUGGACCCGCGCCGUAUUAGCUAGUUGGUGAGGUAACGGCUCACCAAGGCAACGAUACGUAGCCGACCUGAGAGGGUGAUCGGCCACACUGGAACUGAGACACGGUCCAGACUCCUACGGGAGGCAGCAGUAGGGAAUCUUCCGCAAUGGGCGAAAGCCUGACGGAGCAACGCCGCGUGAGUGAUGAAGGUCUUCGGAUCGUAAAACUCUGUUAUUAGGGAAGAACAAAUGCGUAAGUAACUGUGCGCGUCUUGACGGUACCUAAUCGGAAAGCCACGGCUAACUACGUG
rnacentral:rRNA from 1 species